CUCCAGGAGAAACAUGAAACUCAAUAGCAUUUGGUUGAAUUCUCUAUAUAUAUUUUAACCUGAAGACCCAUAGGUUGCCUUGGAAUGUGUUUUUUUUAUUAGGAAUGGUAAUAAUUGCUUUAACAUUUUCCCACUUACAGAAAAUGUACCUGAUGUGACCCCCGAAUUUUUGCUACUUUGUUGGAUGAUGUAAUGUACAUGAUGUACAUGAUGUAUGUUUGUUGCACUUCACCAUAUAAGUGAAAUUAAAUUUUACAGCAAAACAACAAAAAACUAAAUGACA
rnacentral:lncRNA from 1 species